CCUGCACACUGUUAAAGCUUGAGGCUGAGGUCAGUUCCUGACGAAUGAGCUCUCAAGUGUCGGAAGUGUGCUACAGCAAAAACACAUGGCAGAGUGUUGCUAAUGCCAGGAGAGGAGCUCCCUCUAUGAUUGGAGUUUGAUGGCAGCCCUGCCACAUGC
rnacentral:snoRNA from 1 species